AGAGUUUGAUCCUGGCUCAGGAUGAACGCUAGCGGCAGGCUUAAUACAUGCAAGUCGAACGGUAAGGUCUCUUCGGAGAUACACGAGUGGCGCACGGGUGCGUAACGCGUAUGCAACCUACCUUUAACUGGGAAAUAGCCCCGAGAAAUCGGGACUAAUGUCCCAUACUAUUCUGAGAAUGCAUAUUCUUAGAAUGAAAGCUCCGGCGGUUAUUGAUGGGCAUGCGUGACAUUAGCUAGUUGGUGAGGUAACGGCUCACCAAGGCUACGAUGUCUAGGGGUCCUGAGAGGGUUAACCCCCACACUGGUACUGAGACACGGACCAGACUCCUACGGGAGGCAGCAGUGGGGAAUAUUGGGCAAUGGACGAAAGUCUGACCCAGCGACGCCGCGUGAAGGAAGAAUGUCCUAUGGAUUGUAAACUUCUUUUGUACGGGAAUAACCCUCCGAACGUGUUCGGAGCUGAAGGUACCGUAAGAAUAAGCAUCGGCUAACUCCGUGCCAGCAGCCGCGGUAAUACGGAGGAUGCGAGCGUUAUCCGGAUUUAUUGGGUUUAAAGGGUGCGUAGGCUGUUAUAUAAGUCAGUGGUGAAAUAUUCGGGCUCAACCGGGAUACUGCCAUUGAUACUGUAUAGCUGGAAUAUGGUUGCUGUGAGUGGAAUGUGUGGUGUAGCGGUGAAAUGCAUAGAUAUGACACAGAACGCCGAUUGCGAAGGCAGCUUACUAAGCCAUUACUGACGCUGAGGCACGAAAGCGUGGGGAUCGAACAGGAUUAGAUACCCUGGUAGUCCACGCCGUAAACGAUGAUCACUCGCUGUUUGCGAUAUACAGCAAGCGGCUGAGCGAAAGCAUUAAGUGAUCCACCUGGGGAGUACGAUCGCAAGGUUGAAACUCAAAGGAAUUGACGGGGGCCCGCACAAGCGGAGGAGCAUGUGGUUUAAUUCGACGCAACGCGAAGAACCUUACCUGGGCUUGACAUCCCGUGACAUAGAGGGGAAACUCUCUUUUCCUUCGGGACUACUUACAAGGUGCUGCAUGGUUGUCGUCAGCUCGUGCCGUGAGGUGUCGGGUUAAGUCCCAUAACGAGCGCAACCCCUAUCGUUAGUUGCCAGCGGAUAACGGCGAGGACUCUAAAGGAACUGCCUACGCAAGUAGUGAGGAAGGUGGGGAUGACGUCAAAUCAGCACGGCCCUUAUGUCCAGGGCUACACACGUGUUACAAUGGCCGAUACAAAGGGCAGCUACCAGGUGACUGGAUGCUAAUCUCUAAAGUCGGUCUCAGUUCGGAUCGGAGUCUGCAACUCGACUCCGUGAAGUUGGAUUCGCUAGUAAUCGCGCAUCAGCCAUGGCGCGGUGAAUACGUUCCCGGGCCUUGUACACACCGCCCGUCAAGCCAUGGAAGCUGGGGGUGCCUGAAGUUCGUGACCGCAAGGAGCGACCUAGGGCAAAACUAGUAACUGGGGCUAAGUCGUAACAAGGUAACC
rnacentral:rRNA from 1 species